AACGGGAGCGGCACGGCAAGCCCCGUCCGGAGCAAGACCACAUAGGGGGGCGUUCUAAAGACGGCCCGUCCAGCCCCCGGGUAGGUCGCUACAGAUGUCCGGCAACGGCCAUCGCAGAGGAAUGACCGUCCCCCCGUCUCCCCACGGGACAAGGUUGCGGGGGACAAAACCCGGCUUACAGGCCCACUCCGGUC
rnacentral:RNase_P_RNA from 1 species